GCGCGCGAGGCUCCCAGGGCGGGGCGCGCCGGGCCCGCCGGCAGGGGGCAGCAGUAGGAGUCUGUUGUUCCCGCUCCCUGCGAGCGUGGAGCUAGGCGGGGGCGGGAAGGGGAAGGGGGGGUGAGGGUCUGCCGCUCGGGGGCUGGGGAGGCAGAGCUGCACCGCCCUUCCCGGCCCCGCUCCCCUGACUUCGGGAGGCGGGAGUUUCCAGGAAGCUCUCUGAGCUCACUCCCCCGAGCGCACGCACGCGGCGUGCUGCGCGUCAAGUAGUCCCUCAAGCCCGCACUGGGAGAGGAGGCAGACGCGCUCCCAAGUAGACAUGGGAGUCUGUGCUCGGAAAGUGGACGGACCUGGGGAAACUGGGCUCUGGGGAUUCUCCCUGCCUCCUCGUUCUCUCAAAGGAAGUGAAGCGUGGGGGAAGCGGAACGAGUCCCGGCGGAGGAGGCGGAAGGGUCCAAAUGCGUUCGGAGUGUACAGAGUUUAAAGUGGGCGGGAAAUCCCGGAGCGGAUUCUUAAACCUCCAGACACAGCUAGGGAACUCCCUCCUCCCACACUCAUUUCCCCAAUUCCCUUAGGUGGGAUGCGCGUAGGGGUGAAGAAAAGCCACGGGGGACCGGCUUUACCUUCAAGUCCUCCCCACCCCCGCCCCAACAAUCCUCCGCGGAAGAAGCCGGUGGUGAGCUGCCCGAGCACCUCCUCCGUCUGGAGGGGGCGGGGUGGGCUGUCCUGGCUCCUCCCAUUUUCCCCUCCCAGAGUCGGCCCAGCCCGCCCGCGCUCCGCUCCUCCGGGCGUUGCUCGCGAUCGAGCUCUCGCGGGUUUCCCGCCCCUUCCUGAGCGCGCGCCCCUCCCCCACUCCCUUCCCCCUGCUCCAACGUUCUUUCAACCGUCACCUCCGAGCCUGCCCCACCCCCAGCACGACUGCCCAGUCCCGCCCAGCCCAGUCCUCCCCUCCCCCGGGCGGGGGCAGAUCCCGCUCGGCUGGUCUCAAGCCUCGCCUCGCCUGCCUGUUCUCUAACCCCUUCACCCCGGCUCUGCUCCGCCCCACCCCGCCUCGCCUUGCCUUCCUCCUCCCGCCCGGGCCGAUCCUCUUCGGGCAGGCCUCCCUACCCGUCCCGCUUCCCCACCUGCCCUCGGCCCCGUCCCUCUCCGCUCUCCCUAAGCCUUGGGCUCGAAACCUCCCUCCGCCGUCGUUCAGAGGGGAAGCUCCUCUCACCUACCCAUUUUCCAGAUGAGGAAACUGAGGCUUCACGGUGGCUUCCGGGCAGAUAUCGGAUCCUAGAGAUAACCUGCUUUAGCUAAAGAUAGGCUCUUUAGAGCCAUAAUUGUGUAUCUCUCCACCACCCUUAGGUCUUCAAUGGAAAGGGGACUAGAUUUGCAGUGGGGUCCGGCCUUGGGAUGGUCCAUCUCCUAGGUUCCUUUGGUGCCAAAGGCUGGGUUUGGACCGAGUGUACCUUUCACUAUGCCUCUUGCAUCUGUGGCCCCACCUGUGUGACCUUGGGGAGCCUCCUUUUCUCCUCUCCCCAUGAGAUCCGAAGGGAGGACCCUCGAAACCCGCCCCUCCAACCUCAGAGAAAGGCCACGGGAGGGUUCAGCCCAAGUCAACUCCGAAAGGAAAUUGCUAUGUCAGAAGAUAGGCCAAGUCUUAAUCUUAGCUGGCAUGAUGUGUUGAAGUGAUAUUGGAUCCAAAUGAAACAUGAAGGGCAAUGGCAAAUCCGGAGUCAGACUUCUUUUCAACUCACAUUGCCUAGCCAUACAACCAAAAAUCUAGACAGUCUACUAGUGCUGUGCUAGGAAAUGAAAUUGCUUUCAUUUGAAUUGUCUUAGAAAGAUUGUGAAGAUCAUUUGGCAAGAUAAAAGUAUUUGAUACUGAAGUCCUUUAAGCCUAACUGCCAAUCAGACUCUACUGCAGAGUGCAACUUCAAUGGACUGGUCUUGUUGUUUGAAUGUCAAAUGUAUAUUUGUCUAAAAGUAUAUUUUGUAGAGAGCUCUUGCAGAGGAAGCACUCAAAGGUGGUGAGAAGAAGAGAUAUAAGGACAUCCUCAAGGUCUUCUAAACUUUGGAAUCUUAUCAUGUAACAUGAGAGACACUAGCAUAGUACUGCUGUGUGUGUAGUACCUGAAUUUAAGAAGGCACUGUAUAAGAGAAGCAAAAUUACAGCAACUCAAAAGAAAUACGAGAUGCAUAAAUUUAGAGACCUCUCCACUUCAGAUAUUUAUAUGGACUAUUGGUACCCAAUGACAGUAAAAAAAAAGCCAAGUUCAAAUUGGUCUGAUCAGCCACAGUAGGGCAUACUAUAUCUGCAACUAGUGAUAUCAUUUUGGCUCUCUUUAGGAACAAAACACAGCAAUCGAUCAACUCUAUACAUACUGGGAACUUGAAGAUCUUGGUUUGAAUCUUGGCUUUUCUACACAACUUAUUCACUUUGGACAAAUCAUUUAACCUUCCUAGAAUUUCAUUUCUUUAUCUUCAAAUGACUUUAUUAAAGGAGAUUUGCUUGAGGAUCUUUUAAUUUGAAAUCCUUUGAUCCACAUCUAAGGGUGGGAUUCCUUCAUUAUCCCAUCUAUUUAAAAGCAAUUACCUAUCUUAAUAUAUUAGUUCUUGACUGAAUCAACCUAUUCAAACAGGGCCUUGUAUACCUUUUAGAUCACUCAAAUCAAUUGUAAGAUACAGAUAGUUAUCUGUUCUGUAGAAUAUUAUGGACAGUUCUGCACACCUCUCUUCUAUGUAAAGUGACUUUUAGGUAAUGAGAAUUUGCCCACAGAUGUGGAGAAGGGAGGGAGAGAGAGGCAGGAAGGGAGUGGGACCUAUGGAAGGAGAGGACUGGCACAUCUUUUAAGGACAUGCUAUAUGGGGACCUGGGAACAUAGAAGCAAGAGUAGGAAGAGGAACAUCUAGGCUGGGGUCCACCAUAUGGGGACCUUGCUGGUACUGAGAGGAGGAACACUGGGAUUGAGGGGGACAGACACAUAGGGACUGGAAAUGGACACCAGAGAAACUGGGCAAUAUGGGGGCCGGGGAUAGCCACAGAGAAACCAGAGCAGAUGUAUGGAAAACAGACCUGUAGCAUGGACACAUGAGUGGGUGAGCAGAGUGGGACAAAGGUCUCUUCACUCUUGGGCACAAGACAUCUCAAGCCAAAUCCUCUAUCCAGCAGUUAUGUCCCAAUACAACCAUUCUACAGCUUUCCCUUGAAAGAUUUUUAAAGAGUUUUUGGGGGGAGAGCUGCUGUGCACCAAGUGAGAAGCAGGAACAGAGACAGCAUAAUACUGUACAGUAAACAUAGAUGGUUUUUGGAAUAUAGAUUUCUUUUGGAAUUUAUCAAUUUAUUCCAAUUUGCAUAAUGUGAAUUGGAUGCAGAAAACAUAACUUUCCGUACUUGACCAUUUCUAAAGAAUUUGUAUGAAAGGAAAAAGGUACCUCAAAACCAUAUAUUCUAAGGAUCUAAAAAUUGAAAUACGAAGUCAUGCAAAGUUGAGUGAAGAACCAAUAGCCCCAAGGCAAGCUACAAAAAGCGAAAAAGAAGGUAAGACUGGGAAGUGACAGGGCUCAUUGGCUUCUUGGAGCCUAAGAUCCAUGCUAAUACUUUUAGUAUAGUCAUUUACUCAAGGACUUUGCUGGAUCUUUUCCCAGGUUUUGUCCAUUUACGAUGGACAUCCUUCAGAGCUUUAUCAUGGUCUUCUCUUUUCCCUUUAAACUAUCUUGUUUGAUAAUCUCUGCUACUUCCAUUGAUUUAUCAUUUCCUUGUUUUACAAAUCAGUAUUUCUCCCCUAUACAUAUUUGUUGCCAAGUCCUUCACAUUCUAUCUUUGCUCUAACACUGCUAACGACCUUGGUACAGGCUCUCUCAUCACCUCACAUCUGGAAGGCAAAAUAGCCUUCAGGUUUGGUUUCUCUGCCUCAGUUCUCCCUCCAGUUCAGUCUCCCUCCAAUUUGUCAAAUAGAUCUUCCUAAAGUUCAGGUCUGGCAAUGUCACCCCCUAGUUAAUAAAUUCCAGGGACUCUGUCACCUCCAGUAUUGAAUAUAAAACCAUCUUUCUGAUGUUUGAAGUCCUGCCUGCUUCCUACCCUUCCAGUAUUCUAAGAGCUUUUACAAACAUCCUCUAACCAUUCCCCCAAACAUACUGUGUGAUCCAUUGACACUGGCCAUCUUGCUAUUUACAAAAUAUUCCUUCUCCCUUCUACAGGCAUUUUCAUGCUGGGAAUUCUUUCUCUCUACGUCUUUGCCUGCUUGCUUCCCUUAAGUGCUAGCUAAAACCUACCUUCUAAAAAAAAACCUUUUUCAGUUCCCCUUAAUAAGAAUACCUUUCCAUUGAUGAUUUUCUCCACUUUAUCUUAUUUGUACAGAGUAUUUGUAUCUUAUUUAAUCUUAUUUGUACAGAGUUAUUUGCACAUUGUCUUCCCAAUUUGAUUUUGAGCUACUUGAGAGCAGGAAUUUGUUUUGUUUUGUUUUUGCCAUUCUUUGUAUUGUAGUAGAUGCUUAAUAAAUGCUUGUUGACUUGGCUGAGGGAAA